CGUGUGAUUUUGUACAGUGUUUUCAAGUGGAGCGAAGAGGAUUAAAGAUAAGACAUGCGGAACAAACAGGACACUCAGGAACAAAACUUGCUUUCACUUUUGCUAUUGCCUCGCAGAGCACUGAACGGCGUAGGUACAGAGCGCAAUAUGCGGUAAAAAAAAAGUGUCAUUUUUUCUUUUCAUGCACCCAUAUUGGCAAAUUUCUGAUUCAUUACAACUUGUGUCGAAUACAUGUCAUCAACAUUUCUCUGGACGGAAAGGUCCCUGAAAAGAGUGAGCUGACUUUACAUGAACAGCACCUUUGUGAUCUGGCUAAACCAAAGAACUUGCUUGAAGAGUUAAUCUUUGAGUUCAUGGCUUGCAUCAGAUUUGGAAUAUUCAAAGACUGGCAGAGUUUUGGUCUGUACAAAAAAUGUUCUCCAGAGCCCUGAUCCUGGACGUGAGCACUCUGGAAAGAAAGAAUAUGAUUUGUACUGCAUUCCAACCUUCAAGGUGAACAGCCUUCGUGGACAGUGAAAAAGGUUGAACAAUAAAGCUUCACUUAAAUGAAGAGGAGAACA
rnacentral:lncRNA from 1 species